CAAGUCGAAUAAUACAUGAAGUUCGUUUCUGAAAAAGUAUUAUGGUAGAUGGCAAAGUAAAAAAGAAAAAAGCGGUAAAAAUUUUGGGAGCCCGCUAAAUUACAAGGCGGUAUUUUUUUUUCUUCCUUUUUUAAUUACAGUAAAAUAAUUUUCUGGGAAGAAUGAUCCUGUGCUCAUCUCUCUCAAAAUGCGAUCUCCCUUAUCCGGCCCCUAAUUACCAGUAGCGGUUAACAAACACCAAUCCUGUCGAUAACUGGAACCCUAAGGUCUCGGACCGGGACACGGUUAGAUUCCUUGCCAAUCCCCUUGACUCUGCAGCCUCUCCGCCGUCAACGCUGCAGACUACGCUAAGACGGAAGAACUCCCUGCAACUCCUUUUAACUUGAAGAAGAAAACCCCCGAGAUAACCGAUGCCACUCUCCGCCUUAAUCUGGCGGGCGGCUUCACUUGUGGGGAUGACCCCGGAUCCAGACCCAAUAAGAGGGUUCGCUCUGGCUCUCUCGGUAGCACCACCACCUAUCCCAUGUUGCCAACCAGAUGCAGAGAUUUUGCCAGUAGUGUAGCAAAUUUAUGCAAAUUUCAAAUCUCAAUUUUUUUUCUUUUAAUUUGUGCUGUAGAUUUAUGUUGUUUAGAACGGCGAGGUUCAUCAUCUUCUUGCUUGCUCUUUGCAGGUUUCAUCCCCUUUCCGAGUUUGACGAGGGCAAGCGGAGUUGUAGAAGGAGGCUUGCUGGGCAUAAUCGGCGUAGGAGGAAAACUCAACCAAAUGAUGUCAGCUCGAGACUUGUGCUCCCUGGAGAUUGAGACAAUAAAAUUAACGAACACUUGGAUAUCUUUAACUUGUUGGCUGCUGUGGCUCGCACACAAGAGAAAAGCGGUGGCAAAACUAUGAGUUGCUCUCUUUUACUGAACAAAUAAGAGCUCCUUCAUAUUCUUAGCAAGAUAAAUUCACUGCCUUUGGGAAGAAUUCAGCUACCAAGGAAUAUUUAGUCAUUCGCACGGUCCUAUGGUCAUUUGUCUAAACCCCGACAACCAUUUUUCUGCCUUGGAAUUCUUUCACUUUUGGUUUCAAACCCAUUAGCUGCAAAAAGAGAUGCCUUACAGAGCACUGUUACAGAGCACUGCUAUUUUGGGCUUUGGAUGUGAAACCAACAGAAAUUCUCUUGAAGCCAUGGUGAAGAGCACAGGAAAAGAAUCAUUACAAUGGGGACUGGCUGGUGGAGUGUAUUCAGGUCUCACCUAUGGACUGGCCGAAGCUUGAGGAGCUCAUGAUUGGCUGGUGGAAUGGAGAGUAUGUCUAAUACUCCUAAGUACCUUCCAGAUGUAAGAAAAGGAUCUUGAUUAGGACAUGAACAAAUUAUUGAUGGCAUGCUUAAAGAUGGCCUGUGGGAUGUCUAUAAUGAUUUUGGAAUGGGAGUUUGUGCAGAGAUAUGUGCUGAACAAUAUACUAUCUCGAGAGAAGAGCAGGAUGGCUAUGCUAUACAAAGCUUUAAGCGAGGAAUGGCUGCACAAAAGAGUCAAUUUUUUUUCAACACAUAAAUUUUGCAUUUGGACUCUUGCUGCAAACAAUUUUACUGGAGAAUUCCCUGAUCUCACUAGUCUCACCAAGUUAAAAUAACUAAGGAUCAGUAGUAACUACUUCACAGGAAGGAUGCCUGAGUUUGGCAAUUUGAAACAGCUUCAGAAGUUGAUGAUUAUGAGGUUUGCUAUCAGUUUUCCUCUGGAAUAAAGAUCAGCCAAUUGGGAUGAGCUCAGAAUCUUUUAUGCAGAAGCCUUGAAUUAGUAAUAGCACAAACCAGCCAUGGUAAACUUGAAACAACCUUGGGGCACUGCAGUGCAUGCCAAUAAGCUGAUCUUCAGCAAAUAAAAAAAUUAUAAACAUGGACAAAGAGAGAGCCUUCAUCACAGAGAUCAGAUAUUAUACAUUAAUAAUUAAAGCUCUCGAACAAAGAUUGUAUACUCACAAAAGUAAGGACUUUAUCAAAACUGGAACGAUUUCGGGCAGCAAUAACGACAUGGUUAGCAGCAACAGAGUUGAACAAAGACCAUUUCAUAGUUGGUGAAAUGGGUGAAGCUGAGAAUAGUUCAGUGCUUAGAAGAACACUCAAGAGUCUUUGUGUUAGUAAUGGUUGGUCUUAUGGCGUUUUCUGGUGUUUCGACCAAAGAAAUCCCAUGAUGAUUCUGAGGUUUGCUAUCAGUUUUCCUCUGGAAUAAAGACCAUUGUGGUAGUACCGGUUGAACCACGAGGACUAGUACAAUUUGGAUCUACUGAGAAGAUAUUUGAAAGAUUGGACUUUGUGGAUCAAACAAUGAGGCUCUUUCAGGAAAAAAACUUUCAGAUACCGCUUAAAACCUUAUAAAUCAAGCUCAUUUUAACAGAUCUGUACAAAUUUUUAUUCUCCAAAUAUGAAUGUUGUCAAUGAGAACUUCCUCCCUCUGCUCAAAUGCCUUGAUGACUGCAUAGCGUAUGUAGAAAACAAUCCACAGUAUGCUGAAUCUGGUGUUUACUUACUCAAAUUUCGACAAUUGCAGUCUCGAGCAUUGGGUAUGAUUCGCUCUCAUGUACUUUCUGUACUCAAAAGUGCGUCUUCUCAGGUUCAGUCAGCAAUCCGGAGCAAUAGUAGCAGCAAGGCAUCUCUUGCUGAGGGUGUAUUCUUGGUUGGAUGAUGCUAUUGAAUAAGUUCUCAAUUUGAGGUGGAGUAGACUUCUCAAUUUGAGAGAUUUUAUGUGACCAUAUCUAUUAAUUGAAGUUUUGCAGCUUAAGCUAGUGCUGAAGGAAAUUGAAAGUAGAUCAUCAAGAAAAGAGUAUAUUUAGCUACUUGCAGAAUGCCACAAACUUUAUUGUGAGCAGAGGCUUUCCUUGGGAUCAAAGAAUCAGAGAGAAAAAAACAUAUAAAACUCUGCAGCAACAAUCUACUGCAGUAAUCUUGUUAUUCACUUUAAAGUUAAGACUUCCGGCAACAACACCUCUGACACUCUACAGAUUCCCUAGAUGUGACAAGCGAAGUAUAAAAGGAUACCUAAGACUCCUUGAAACUAGUAUAGGCAAGGGUAUGAUGAAUUGACCAUGGGUUGGAGAGCUCUGGGGGCGAGGUGUACAUUGUCAACUGUUUGGCCGCCACGGUCGAGGGAUUGUACAGGGACGAAAACCUAAAAUGUGUAUUUUUCCAUUAGAGUGGCUUGAUUAUUUAUAACAUUUAGAAAUUCUGUAAUUAUGUCAUUUAAACCCUGAUUUGGGAUCCCGUGUACCCAACAUU